rnacentral:rRNA from 1 species
AAAGGAAUUGACGGGGACCCGCACAAGCGGUGGAUGAUGUGGUUUAAUUCGAUGCAACGCGAAAAACCUUACCCACCUUUGACAUGUACGGAAGUUGCCAGAGAUGGUUUCGUGCUCGAAAGAGAACCGUAACACAGGUGCUGCAUGGCUGUCGUCAGCUCGUGUCGUGAGAUGUUGGGUUAAGUCCCGCAACGAGCGCAACCCUUGUCAUUAGUUGCUACAUUUAGUUGGGCACUCUAAUGAGACUGCCGGUGACAAACCGGAGGAAGGUGGGGAUGACGUCAAGUCCUCAUGGCCCUUAUAGGUGGGGCUACACACGUCAUACAAUGGCUGGUACAAAGGGUUGCCAACCCGCGAGGGGGAGCUAAUCCCAUAAAGCCAGUCGUAGUCCGGAUCGCAGUCUGCAACUCGACUGCGUGAAGUCGGAAUCGCUAGUAAUCGUGGAUCAGAAUGUCACGGUGAAUACGUUCCCGGGUCUUGUACACACCGCCCGUCACA